rnacentral:tRNA from 1 species
GUCCCUGUCGUCUAGUCCGGCCCAGGACACCGCCCUUUCAUGGCGAUAACACAAGUUCGAAUCUUGUCGGGGACG